rnacentral:lncRNA from 1 species
CCAGAGAGAAGGAAGCACUGUUUGUCCUGAGAGAAUCCUUUCUUGCAUCUGCUUGCCUGGGUUUCAGUGGAUGUGUGUGGGACAGCCCCAGGGGCAGCGGCUGUGAGCUUCCUCGACCCUCGGAGGGUCAGAGUCUGGUAGAAGAGACAGAUUGCCACCACUAAGCCCACCAAGAAGGGUCGGGGGCAAAAUCGCCGACGACAAGGGAACACUGGGCGACAGACCAUGACCAGUUCAGCUUCACUUGGCCCCUGUCCACGUUAAAGUGCCUGUUGCACAGCUGAACUCAGGCCAGGUUGCCUUAGCAGUUCCUCAAUUUUCCUCCGGUUUUAAAGAUGCUUCCCUUCAUUUAGUUUUAAAUUCCCACUGUCCUGUAAGUAUUCACGGCUUUUAACAUAAAAAGGGCAUACGCAAUUUGAAUGGACAUGGUUACUGUCAGGGUUUUUGCUUGAAUUUGUUUCAUUCCGUCUCAAGUUCAAAGUUCUAUGUACUUACUCAGUUUUCAUCCUUUUAGCCAUCCUAAUGGAUUGCUGAUGAAAACCACUCGGAAGGAAACACCCAGUCGUAUGACUCCAAUUCAUC